rnacentral:miRNA from 1 species
ACGACGCAGAACUCCGCCACAUGC